rnacentral:rRNA from 1 species
GUGGGGAAUAUUGGACAAUGGGCGCAAGCCUGAUCCAGCCAUGCCGCGUGAGUGAUGAAGGCCCUAGGGUUGUAAAGCUCUUUCACCGAUGAAGAUAAUGACGGUAGUCGGAGAAGAAGCCCCGGCUAACUUCGUGCCAGCAGCCGCGGUAAUACGAAGGGGGCUAGCGUUGUUCGGAAUUACUGGGCGUAAAGCGCACGUAGGCGGAUAUUUAAGUCAGGUGUGAAAUCCCAGAGCUCAACUCUGGAACUGCCUUUGAUACUGGGUAUCUCGAGUAUGGAAGAGGUGAGUGGAAUUCCGAGUGUAGAGGUGAAAUUCGUAGAUAUUCGGAGGAACACCAGUGGCGAAGGCGGCUCACUGGUCCAUUACUGACGCUGAGGUGCGAAAGCGUGGGGAGCAAACAGGAUUAGAAACCCGGGUAGUCC